rnacentral:rRNA from 1 species
UACGAGGGGAGCUAGCGUUGUUCGGAAUCACUGGGCGUAAAGCGCACGUAGGCGGACGUGUCAGUCAGGGGUGAAAUCCCGGAGCUCAACUUCGGAACUGCCUUUGAUACAGCACGUCUUGAGUCCGGAAGAGGUGGGUGGAAUUCCUAGUGUAGAGGUGAAAUUCGUAGAUAUUAGGAAGAACACCGGUGGUGAAGGCGGCCCACUGGUCCGGUACUGACGCUGAGGUGCGAAAGCGUGGGGAGCAAACAGG